CUAUGAGUGGUGACAGAGAGCAUUUUCUGGAACGUUGCAUGCCCUCAUGAUGAAGAUCUCCCUCCUGCAGCAGAUGUACAAGGAUGUCCUGGCAGGAAUUCCCUUAGCCAAGGAAAGCCAUCAUUAUUCCUCUUUACUUACUCUGAGUGUUGAGCAGCCAGCAGGAGGAGAUGAAUCCUGUCACCAGAGGCAUCUCCCACCUCCUGCUGCUGGUACUGGGAGCCAUCAGGACACUGAUAAGGUUGUCCCUGCAGCAGAUGAUUUAUCAAAGAGCUUUGCCAGCAUGAGCUCCUCGUUCUGUCCCCGAGAAGUGAUGCUGCUGCAGUUAACCCUGAUCAGGAUGAUGGUGGCCAAAGCAGAGUCCCAGCAAAUCGAAUCCAGCACCAGACUGAAGUACUGUGAGAUCUUUGUCCUUCUUCUGAAGGAGGCAAAAACUGACUCAAAACUGGUUUCUCUGCUCGGUCCCCACGAUCGGCUCUUAUCCCACCUGGCUUCCCAAAGUUUGGCAGCUCUGGUGUAUUUCCAGCUGAAGGAAGAGAAUGCAUUAAAUGUCACCUGGCUCAGCUUUACUCUGAACAGUCUCUUGGGAUUUCCCGGGAAUACCCCGGUUGCAGAUUGCCUGUGGACUCUGACAGCGGUUAUCAAGGAGACCCUGAGAGACGCGGGUUUACCCAAAGCAGGGGUUUUGAAGAAGUUGUUGGCUCCUCUUGAUGCUGUGCUCGAAGGAUUUUAUAAUGCCAUCCUGUUCCAUCAUUUUGACAGUCACUACUAUACUUCACCUUAUUCUGAAGCUACAACCAACCUGAUCAGUUUUAUAGAUCUACUGGAAGCACUUUUGGCCUCCAGAACUGAACUGGAAUUACCACUGAGGUGCCAGAGAGUGUUGUUUUUGAAAGUUUCUUAUAUCCUGAACCUCAUUAGCUCAUCAAUUCCCUAUGUAAUCAAGAAGAAAUUCAUUUUGCUCCUUAAAAAAUGUGUCCUUCACAAGUCUAGAGAAGAUGCUAGAAGUGGAUCAGUGUCCUUACAAGCCCUGCCUUUGUGUGAGGAUGUGCUUGCCCUGAGCAAUGCUGUUCUGCAGGUUGUGAGUUUGACUUGGCUUAAUCAGAUCCCGCUCGAUGAAAAGUCCAGCUACUUUGGAAGCAGUGAACCUGCUCCUGGAGAUGAUCCUCAAGGUGGUUCUGACCAAACUGUUCUCAGAGCCUUAAGUCUGGUUGUGCUUAAAGCACUGGAAUUCAAGAUUCACAACUCCACAGCAGAAGCAGAAAUCAAAGGAGACUUUGAGAGUUCCAUGUCCCAGCUGUUGAUGUUCUGGAGGAGUCACCUAAAGCCUUUCCCACAGUCUCACCCAGUUGUGCACCACUGUGAAUGGCUCUGCUUGAUUUUCAUGGAGCAAGAUGAUGACAUGUGGGAAGCUGCUAAAGCUUUAUUACUCAUUUAUUUAAAAUUGGAUAGGUUACAACACGAUGCUGCUGGUAACUUAAGCCAAGAAGAGGAGGACUCCUGGAACGUCCAUACUCAUGCAGGUGGAUACAAUCCACACUGUAUCUUCUUAUUUUUUCUGGAAAAGAUUGCAUUUGAUUCCUCAGUACUCCUAGAUUUUUUGAUUUCAUCAGAAACUUGCUUUCUGGAGUACUUGGUAAGGUAUUUAAAGCUCCUUAGGAGAGAGUGGCACCAGUUCGUAGCUGUCUGUACCCAUUUUGAUACCAAACACAGCGCUUGGCAGUCCGUGUCUCCUGCCAAGCCACCCCAUCCAGAAGAGCAAAGCUGUGUGACUGAUGAGAGUUUGCAAAACGCCGGUUGUGAACCAGCCCCACCGACUCCGCUGUCUUUGUCUUCCUCUCCCGAUGGCUGCGUGUUUACAGCAGAGCGAGGUGCUAAUGAAGCCGAGUGUGACUCACUGAUAAGCGCCGAUAGCGCGGCUCUGCCGGGGGCUCUGCCGGGCUCCCUUCAGAGCCUCCUUAAUUACGACAGCUCAGAAGACUCCGAGUUGGAAUCAGAUGGAAAAGAGUGCUUGGUAAACACAAAGCAGGUGCCUGCAAACAAUGAGGGUGAGAAGAGGAGAAGAGGAACUGGUUGCAGCUACACGGCUGAUAACUGGAAAAUCUGCACGUCUGAAGUGUUGCCUCUGAAACAGGAGGGAUCUCAUCCCUCAUCCUGUUGGACUCGUAUGACGUCCUUGGAUAACAUCAUUCCCUUAAGAAUAAUGCUUUAUAAAUCAACCAAGUGCUUGGAAGAGCUGCAACAAGCUAUUUCUAGGUUGCAGAGAAGAAAUCUUUUCCCAUAUAAUCCGACAGCAUUGUUGAAACUACUGAGCCACAUUGAGAAGAUGAGGAAGAACAUGAAUCCACAAUAAUCCAAAGCAUUCUGGUGGGGUUUUUUUAACUGGUACACCAGGGAAUAUUUCCAUGAGACUAAUGACUUCUGCAGCUCAUGCCUCUUGCACUAGUCAGUGUAUUUAACCUCAGGCAGGAUAAACAUGUUUUUGGUUGACACCUUAAAAAUCUACAGUUGGAGCCAGUGAUAUGAUCCAUGACCUGAGAGUCCUGGGCUUAUUCAUGAUGUAAUUUGAAUAACCUGAAAAGUGAGUGUCUGAGAGUUUGCUUGAGGGGAGCAAGUUCAGAACAGGAUGCAGCUCAGUGUGUGCACUUUGCAGGAAGGCACCUCAUGUUGGGACAUUUAAAGAGCAGCUUGUAGUGAUCCUGCAAGGGUUGGGCAGAGGGAAAGUACUGACAACAGGAAUGCUGGAAACAUCUCAGACCUCUGCAGAACUGUGAGAAAGAGUUUUCCUUCUAGGAUCUUCUCUUGAAGGUAAGUGCUUGGUUCUCAAUCAGAACAGAGCGUGUCCUCUCUUCCAUUUAAGUGGCUAUUUAGUGUUAAAUUAAAAUAAAUACUGAGGUAAGACAAAAAGAGUGUGUGGAGCAGGUGACUGACCCACAAAUCUCUGUGGCCAUCUUCUAGUCUUGAGCUCUGAACUGGUGAAUCAACACUUUUGGCAGGGGACGAAAACUGGGUGAAGCUUUUGGGAUAAUUUAGCUGGAAAUUACAGUGCUCUCCAGGAUGACAGUGGUAAUCACUUGGCAGUUAGAUGGGAAGGAGUGAUCCUCUUCACUGGCCUGAAGGAGAUCUGAAUAUUCUGAGUGUUCACUGUACUUUGGGCUCUUCCUGAGAUAACUGUUGUUGAGAGGAGUGGGUGAGAAUGUCAAGGAAUGGAACCCUUUCCAUUUGUGCCUGCAGAGACUUAGUUCAGAACUGCCCUUGCAGUUGUCCAGGGUACAGACAUGCCUGGUUUCUCUCCACUGUUUGAACUCAGUUGUGCUCUGGAUGCUGAGUUGCUCAUUUCUCUCAGGACUAAGAUCCCUCUGGGCACAUUCAAAGAUGCAACUCCAGACAACUUGGGAACUCUUCAGUUCAAACAUGGGAAGUGCCUUUGGCGAGGUGCUUGAGCAAGUGUUUCUCAAGAUCACGAUUGUAAAAGUAGGUAGGUAGGUAUAUUUCAGUGAAAUCUUUUCCACUCUCCUCACUCCUUUUCUAAUCUAGCCUUUGCUGACUAGUUUAUUUAAACUGAGCAAUUCCCUUGUUUUCACUGAACACAGGACUGUUCAGCAUUUCUUGAUCUGGGCUUGGCCGGUUGGAAGCACCUAAAUUGCAACAGUGUUUCUCAGACACUGAUAGGAUAAGGUUGGUGGGAAAGGUAAAAUGGGGAGAUAAUUUUGGAUGAGUCCUUGUCUUCUUGUUUAUCAGUAAUUACUACAACUAUCUAAAUGUUUUUAAAAUAAAAAGUUUAGACAUCUCAGAACAGUGUGUAAAAUUUAGCAAGAAAUGUAGGAGCCACAGCUUGAUUUUUUUUUUAAUUUUUUUUUUAAUACAGCAAAUUCAAUUGCAAUCCAACUGUAUGUAAUUCUUACAGGCUGUUUGUGUGCCCAGUUGGUUAUUAGUAGUGAUCAUUCCCACAUGUUUCCCUUCUCAGAAAGCCAUUGUUUUAAUUCUCAGGAUUUCUCAGUUGUAAAAGUGAGUAAAUGUGGUUUGUAUCUGGCAA